rnacentral:rRNA from 1 species
UAGGGAAUCUUCGGCGAUGGACGAAAGUCUGACCGAGCAACGCCGCGUGAGUGAAGAAGGUUUUCGGAUCGUAAAACUCUGUUGGUAGAGAAGAACGCUGGUGAGAGUGGAAAGCUCAUCAAGUGACGGUAACUACCCAGAAAGGGACGGCUAACUACGUGCCAC